rnacentral:rRNA from 1 species
CAACUUUCAACAACGGAUCUCUUGGCUCUCGCAUCGAUGAAGAACGCAGCGAAAUGCGAUACGUAAUGUGAAUUGCAGAAUUCAGUGAAUCAUCGAAUCUUUGAACGCACCUUGCGCCCCUUGGCAUUCCGAGGGGCACACCCGUUUGAGUGUCGUGAA